GACGAACGCUGGCGGCGUGCUUAACACAUGCAAGUCGAACGGAAAGGCCCUGCUUUUGUGGGUUGCUCGAGUGGCGAACGGGUGAGUAACACGUGAGUAACCUGCCCUUGACUUUGGGAUAACUUCAGGAAACUGGGGCUAUUACCGGAUAGGAGCUCCUGCUGCAUGGUGGGGGUUGGAAAGUUUCGGCGGUUGGGGAUGGACCCGCGGCUUAUCAGCUUGUUGGUGGGGUAGUGGCUUACCAAGGCUUUGACGGGUAGCCGGCCUGAGAGGGUGACCGGCCACAUUGGGACUGAGAUACGGCCCAGACUCCUACGGGAGGCAGCAGUGGGGAAUAUUGCACAAUGGGCGGAAGCCUGAUGCAGCAACGCCGCGUGCGGGAUGACGGCCUUCGGGUUGUAAACCGCUUUCGCCUGUGACGAAGCGUGAGUGACGGUAAUGGGUAAAGAAGCACCGGCUAACUACGUG
rnacentral:rRNA from 1 species